UACAGAGGGUGCAAGCGUUAAUCGGAGUUACUGGGCGUAAAGGGCGCGUAGGCGGUUGUGUGAGUGUGAUGUGAAAGCCCUGGGCUUAACCUAGGAAGUGCAUCGCAAACGACAUAACUGGAGUAUAAGAGAGGGUGGCGGAAUUUCCGGUGUAGCGGUGAAAUGCGUAGAGAUCGGAAGGAACGUCAAUGGCGAAGGCAGCCACCUGGCUUAAUACUGACGCUGAGGCGCGAGAGCAUGGGGAGCGAACAGG
rnacentral:rRNA from 1 species